rnacentral:rRNA from 1 species
GAUCCGCCAAAGUUCCUCCGAUGACUUGGUGGGCAGCUUCCGGGAAACCAAAGCAUUUGGGUUCCGGGGGAAGUAUGGUUGCAAAGCUGAAACUUAAAGGAAUUGACGGAAGGGCACCACCAGGAGUGGAGCCUGCGGCUUAAUUUGACUCAACACGGGAAACCUCACCAGGCCCGGACACCGGAAGGAUUGACAGAUUGAGAGCUCUUUCUUGAUUCGGUGGGUGGUGGUGCAUGGCCGUUCUUAGUUGGUGGAGCGAUUUGUCUGGUUAAUUCCGAUAACGAACGAGACUCUAGCCUACUAAAUAGACGUACUUUAUUACCGGCAUCUCAAGGCCCAUCGGCUGUAUUGUUACUGGAAUGUUAUUUGUAUAUUUUGUUAAUAUCUAUAUAUCUAUUAUAUGUAUGAUUGAAUAAUAUGUGUAUAUUAUUUUGUGUGUAUUAUUUUAUAAUCUCACUUAAUUA